UGGGGAAUAUUGGACAAUGGGCGCAAGCCUGAUCCAGCAAUGCCGCGUGUGUGAAGAAGGCCUUCGGGUUGUAAAGCACUUUUAUCAGGAGCGAAACGCUGUCGGCUAAUACCCGGCGGAACUGACGGUACCUGAGGAAUAAGCACCGGCUAACUUCGUGCCAGCAGCCGCGGUAAUACGAAGGGUGCAAGCGUUAAUCGGAAUUACUGGGCGUAAAGCGUGCGUAGGCGGUUUCUUAAGUCUGCUGUGAAAUCCCCGGGCUCAACCUGGGAAUGGCAGUGGAUACUGGGAGGCUAGAGUGUGUCAGAGGGUGGUGGAAUUCCCGGUGUAGCGGUGAAAUGCGUAGAGAUCGGGAGGAACAUCAGUGGCGAAGGCGGCCACCUGGGACAACACUGACGCUGAGGCACGAAAGCGUGGGGAGCAAACAGGAUUAGAUACCCUGGUAGUCCACGCCCUAAACGAUGCGAACUGGAUGUUGGUCUCAACUCGGAGAUCAGUGUCGAAGCUAACGCGUUAAGUUCGCCGCCUGGGGAGUACGGUCGCAAGACUGGAAACUCAAAGGAAUUGAC
rnacentral:rRNA from 1 species